rnacentral:rRNA from 1 species
CCUACGGGGGGCUUCAGUGGGGGAUAUUGCACAAUGGGGGGAACCCUGAUGCAGCGACGCCGCGUGGGUGAAGAAGCGCCUCGGCGCGUAAAGCCCUGUCAGCAGGGAAGAAAAUGACGGUACCUGAAGAAGAAGCCCCGGCUAACUACGUGCCAGCAGCCGCGGUAAUACGUAGGGGGCAAGCGUUAUCCGGAUUUACUGGGUGUAAAGGGGGCGCAGACGGCGAUGCAAGCCAGGAGUGAAAGCCCGGGGCCCAACCCCGGGACUGCUCUUGGAACUGCGUGGCUGGAGUGCAGGAGAGGUAAGUGGAAUUCCUAGUGUAGCGGUGAAAUGCGUAGAUAUUAGGAGGAACACCAGUGGCGAAGGCGGCUUACUGGACUGUAACUGACGUUGAGGCUCGAAAGCGUGGGGAGCAAACAGGAUUAGAUACCCUAGUAGUC